rnacentral:rRNA from 1 species
CGGAGGGUGCAAGCGUUAUCCGGAUUCACUGGGUUUAAAGGGUGCGUAGGUGGCUUUGUAAGUCAGUGGUGAAAUCUCGGAGCUUAACUCCGAAACUGCCAUUGAUACUGCUUAGCUUGAAUCAAGUAGAGGUGGAUGGAAUAUUACAUGUAGCGGUGAAAUGCUUAGAUAUGUAAUAGAACACCGAUUGCGAAGGCAGUUCACUAUGCUUGUAUUGACACUGAGGCACGAAAGCGUGGGGAUCAAACAGGAUUAGAUACCCUGGUAGUCCACGCCCUAAACGAUGUAAACUCGACAUUAGCGAUAUACAGUUAGUGUCCAAGCGAAAGCGUUAAGUUUACCACCUGGGAAGUACGACCGCAAGGUUG